UCCCUGGUGGCUCAGAUGGUAAAGCAUCUGCCUGCGAUGCAGGAGGCCCAGAGUUCGAUCCCUGGGUUGGGAA
rnacentral:tRNA from 1 species